CCUACGGGUGGCAGCAGUGGGGAAUAUUGGACAAUGGGGGCAACCCUGAUCCAGCCAUGCCGCGUGUGUGAAGAAGGCCCUCGGGUUGUAAAGCACUUUCAGUGAGGAAGAACGCCUGGUGGUUAAUACCCAUCAGGAAAGACAUCACUCACAGAAGAAGCACCGGCUAACUCCGUGCCAGCAGCCGCGGUAAUACGGAGGGUGUGAGCGUUAAUCGGAAUUACUGGGCGUAAAGCGCGCGUAGGUGGCUUGAUAAGCCGGUUGUGAAAGCCCCGGGCUCAACCUGGGAACGGCAUCCGGAACUGUCAAGCUAGAGUGCAGGAGAGGAAGGUAGAAUUCCCGGUGUAGCGGUGAAAUGCGUAGAGAUCGGGAGGAAUACCAGUGGCGAAGGCGGCCUUCUGGACUGACACUGACACUGAGGUGCGAAAGCGUGGGUAGCAAACAGGAUUAGAUACCCUAGUAGUC
rnacentral:rRNA from 1 species